rnacentral:rRNA from 1 species
UGCCAGCAGCCGCGGUAAUACGGAGGGGGUUAGCGUUGUUCGGAAUUACUGGGCGUAAAGCGUACGUAGGCGGAUCAGAAAGUAUAGGGUGAAAUCCCGGGGCUCAACCCUGGAACUGCCUUGUAAACUGGCGAACUUGAGUACGGGAGAGGAAAGUGGAAUUCCGAGUGUAGGGGUGAAAUCCGUAGAUAUUCGGAGGAACACCAGUGGCGAAGGCGGCCCCCUGGCUCGAUACUGACGCUGAGGUGCGAAAGCGUGGGGAGCAAACAGGAUUAGAUA